rnacentral:rRNA from 1 species
GAUGAACGCUAGCGGAAGGCAUAAUACAUGCAAGUCGAACGGAUGUAGCAAUACAUUAGUGGCGCACGGGUGCGUAACGCGUAUGCAACCUACCUUCAUCAGGGGGAUAACUACCCGAAAGGGUGGCUAACACCGCAUAAUACUACUGAAUGGCAUCAUUUGGUAUUUAAAUCUGAGGAGGAUGAAGAUGGGCAUGCGUCUGAUUAGCUAGUUGGUGUGGUAACGGCGCACCAAGGCGACGAUCAGUAGGGGAACUGAGAGGUUGGUCCCCCACACUGACACUGGGAUACGGGCCAGACUCCUACGGGAGGCAGCAGUAGGGAAUAUUGGUCAAUGGUGGGAACACUGAACCAGCCAUUCCGCGUGCAGGAAGUAGGGUCUCUGACUUGUAAACUGCUUUAGCAAGGGAAGAAAAAGCUCAUGCGUGAGAAAUUGACGGUACCUUGAGAAUAAGCACCGGCUAACUACGUGCCAGCCGCCGCGGUAAUAC